AUGCGCAUUCGCCAACGCCUUCCGCUGACGCUUGUACAACCGCGUCGCGCGGCGCCUUCGUGUGUCCUACUCGCGGCGCCUUGCCCAGUAGGCCUGCUCGUAGGCGACGUCCUCCGGGUGGCGCUGGCGCCACUCCGCCGUGACCCGCUCGUCCUCCUGGGCGAUGAGGAGGCGGCGUUGCCGCUCGGCGUGCUCCGCACGGUCUUCCGUCGUGUUCAGACGAGACAGAGGGACGAAGUUGAGCGCUUGCUGGAGCGUGUACACAUCUUGGAAGUUUAUCUGGCCGCGCGGCCGGCCUAG
rnacentral:rRNA from 1 species